UACGAAGGGGGCUAGCGUUGUUCGGAUUUACUGGGCGUAAAGCGCACGUAGGCGGAUCGUUAAGUCGGGGGUGAAAUCCUGGAGCUCAACUCCAGAACUGCCUUCGAUACUGGCGAUCUAGAGUCCGGAAGAGGUGAGUGGAACUCCUAGUGUAGAGGUGGAAUUCGUAGAUAUUAGGAAGAACACCAGUGGCGAAGGCGGCUCACUGGUCCGGUACUGACGCUGAGGUGCGAAAGCGUGGGUAGCAAACAGG
rnacentral:rRNA from 1 species